rnacentral:rRNA from 1 species
GACGAACGCUGGCGGCGUGCUUAACACAUGCAAGUCGAACGGAAAGGCCCUGCUUUUGUGGGGUGCUCGAGUGGCGAACGGGUGAGUAACACGUGUGUAACCUGCCCUUGACUUUGGGAUAACUUCAGGAAACUGGGGCUCAUACCGGAUAGGAGCUCCUGCUGCAUGGUGGUGGUUGGAAAGUUUCGGCGGUUGGGGAUGGACUCGCGGCUUAUCAGCUUGUUGGUGGGGUAGGGGCUUACCAAGGCUUUGACGGGUAGCCGGCCUGGGAGGUGGACCGGGCACAUUGGGACUGAGAUACGGACCAGACUCCUACGGGAGGCAGCAGUGGGGAAUAUUGCGCAAUGGGCGGAAGCCUGAUGCAGCAACCCCGCGUGCGGGAUGACGGCCUUCGGGUUGUAAACCACUUUCGACUGUGACGAAGCGUGAGUGACGGUAAUGGGUAAAAAAGCACCGGCUAACUACGUG